rnacentral:rRNA from 1 species
UACGGAGGGGGCUAGCGUUGUUCGGAAUUACUGGGCGUAAAGCGCGCGUAGGCGGACCUGCAAGUCGGGGGUGAAAGCCCGAGGCUCAACCUCGGAACUGCCUUCGAUACUGCGGGUCUCGAGUCCGGGAGAGGUGAGUGGAAUUCCUAGUGUAGAGGUGAAAUUCGUAGAUAUUCGCAAGAACACCAGUGGCGAAGGCGGCUUACUGGUCCGGUUCUGACGCUGAGGCGCGAAAGCGUGGGGAGCAAACAGG